GGAGAGAUGGCUGAGCGGCCUAAAGCGGCGGAUUGCUAAUCUGCUGUACGAGUUCUUCGUACCGAGGGUUCGAAUCCCUCUCUUUCCC
rnacentral:tRNA from 1 species